rnacentral:rRNA from 1 species
GACGAACGCUGGCGGCGUGCUUAACACAUGCAAGUCGAACGGUGAUGCUCCAGCUUGCCGGAGUGGAUCAGUGGCGAACGGGUGAGUAACACGUGAGCAACCUGCCCCAGACUCUGGAAUAAGCGCUGGAAACGGCGUCUAAUACUGGAUACGAAACUGGCCCGCAUGGGCAUGGUUUGGAAAGUUUUUCGGUUUGGGAUGGGCUCGCGGCCUAUCAGCUUGUUGGUGAGGUAAUGGCUCACCAAGGCGACGACGGGUAGCCGGCCUGAGAGGGCGACCGGCCACACUGGGACUGAGACACGGCCCAGACUCCUACGGGAGGCAGCAGUGGGGAAUAUUGCACAAUGGGCGAAAGCCUGAUGCAGCGACGCCGCGUGAGGGAUGACGGCCUUCGGGUUGUAAACCUCUUUCAGCAGGGAAGAAGCGAAAGUGACGGUACCUGCAGAAGAAGCACCGGCUAACUACGUG